rnacentral:lncRNA from 12 species
CCCCCCCCCCCCCCCCCCCCCCCCCCCCGCGGACACGCGUGUGCCGCCGCGGCCGCUCGCCUGCGCCGGGAGCCCCGGGGGCCGGAGGCGCCGGUGCCUGCCGUCCCGCAGAUACGCGAGCGCGGAUGCCGCUCUCCGCAGCGCAGGGCGUGGGCAGCUCCACCGCUGCCCCGCGGCACCCACGGGGGCAUCCCCGGACAGGUUCGCACCGGGCGCGCAGCACGCCGGCGGGUCUGUCACAAGUCCCCGCCGGCGUGUGCUGAGCGUGUGCGAGCGCUCGUCUCCCUGCACCGGUGCCGGUUUCUGGGAUGUGAAAGAGGCGCUCGGUACCGCUGCCCCUGCGCUGGGAUGUCCCGAGCACAGCGUCACGGAAAACUCAACUUGCUGGAUAUUAAAAAAAAAUUCAUUAUUUUCAUGAGGUCAAAAACUGCAAAGGGGUCAAAGUCAUCCGCAGGGUGGGACACCAGCCGCAGCUUUUCCCCUCUGCCACAUCAGGACAGCAAAAGAACAAGUCGGUCCACGGAGGCCCCAUCCCGGGUCUUGCCCACGCACCAGCGCGCCUGCCCCCACCCACAAGGAUGAGCACACUGAGCACAUCAGUUUUACCAGCCGUUUAAACUUCCACCCCUAUUCCGAGAUUUCGGCACGUAAAUCUCCACGUAUAUAGAACGCAGUCGUGGAAUUUGGGGAGCGGGAAGACAAAGGGAGAAUGCCUGGAGCUCUGUCACGGACAUGAACGUUGCCCGUGAUCCCUUUUAAGGGCGCAUUUUCUCCACUGGAGCACUCAAAGCAAAACCCACCUCGGUACGGCUCUUUGCAAUGUCUCUUUCCUCGAUCUCCCCAAAUUUUUGGCAUUUAAUAGCUUUCCUGGAAAUUUAGGGAUAUUAGCACUCUUUACACAACCCCGAAAGGUGCGAUAAGCCUGUAGCUUUUUCUCAAAUGACAGGCUCAGAAUUUUUAGAAAUAAUUCAUUACUGAAUCCGCCUAUACUUGCCAUGCUAAAAUCGUCUUUCAUAUAGCAGAGAUGGAUAAAGGACCAAAUUUCCUCCCGACAUGAGUGGUGGAGGGGAAUUUUGCCUAGCCCCCGUAGUAUUUCUGUGCUGUGACCAAAAAGGCAGAGCACGCUCAGGGAUUGCGGGAAUGGCGCUCUUUCCCAUUCUGGUACCAGAGGACAAAAAUCGCACGUGAAGUUACUUGAUUCUUGAGUGUAAAAGAGGAGUAAAAACCGCACUCACCCGGUGCCGUCGGAGGACUCCUAUCCCCGAGUGCCAUCGUGCGCCUUUCUUGCAGGUAGAGGCAGUUUCUCCUGGCGUCUUAAAAAAGGCAAACACAACAUUGCACUCUUGUGACUUUCUCUGAUAUUGGUGGCAAACAUGCAAACAAAGAGCACUUUAACAAAACAAGCUAAAGUAUCUACAGAUUAACCACGAGAACUGCUAAAUCGGCAAAGAAACUUCCAACUUACCGAUUGAAACGAAAGAGCCCGAGGGGGAGGGGGAAGGCCGGGGGAGGAAACACUUUGAGGAAGAGACCGAAAAGAAAAAAAAAAAAGAUAGAAAGCGAAAAUCCUGACAUUAGGCACACGCAGUUUUGGUGUAACUGGUGCUUUGAAACUGUGCUUCGGUUGCACGGGCGAUCUGCUUAUCGGGGGGCACAGGGAAACUCUACGUUUAGACAGAAGUCUGUCAUCUCUAUUCAUUCGUAUCACAUGGAUCUGCCUGUGGGGAUAAGAGGUAGGGAAGAUUUUCUUGAAGUGCACCUACCCUUCUGGCGGGAAGGAUUGCUGGGCAGGUUUCUUCUGGAGGGUCCCAUCUCUCUGGAGUAGCUGAAGUGGAGUUGAGGGCAGGUUCUCCGGUGAGGUAGGAAUGUGCAGGAACUCCGCCCUCUGGGCACAGUCACACAAACCCAGCACAACAGAUACAGCCAGCCCUAAAACCUCUAUUGAUCUUCACCUUCACCUCUUCCUAACCCAGUUGCCCACCAGUUUUUGACCCAUUUACCCAGGCACCUCCACCACGGGGCGGAAACGGGGGGUAUUAAAUACAAGAACCCUUCAGUGCACAGAAAAGCAGAGAAGCUACUACAGACACUAGUGCAAUGGAUAGCCACCUCUGCAGUCAGUGUGUGUCUAGAUGUAUGUAUACAUAUUUAUUGCCAAUCGCUGAAUUUGUGGACGCGUAAGAUGUAUGCGCAUAUACAUCCCCGGGCGGGUGUAUUAUUCGCGAUCACACAAUUAAGUGCAAUAGUGGUGAUUAUCUACAGGCAGACUGUUAUGUUUGUUUGUUUAUCUCCCAUCCUAACG